UGAAGAGUAUAAAUAAGAUGCAGCAAUUACACCAGACUACAAGCAACUCUCAGGCUCUUAUGCUGAAGAUCACUCAGUGGAGGAACUACUCAACCAAAACCAUGCUUUCUCUAAACUGGAUAUUAGUCCUGACACUGGCGCAUCUACACUACCUGGCAACUAGCUUGUCAUUGAGUUCUGUGAAAUGGAAUCAUUUAGUGGAACUGAACGACACCAUCUGUAAAGAGAACACUUCCUUUCACAGUCCCACGACUCAUGUUGAGCAUAAUUGUACUGUGUCAGCUUUGAAAUGCACCAUGAGAGAGCUGGAAAAAGCUCAAAGCAAGUGCUCUUACAUUAGACAUCACCUGCA